GACGUAGGGGGCAAGCGUUGUCCGGAAUUAUUGGGCGUAAAGCGCUCGUAGGCGGAUCGGUAAGUCUGUGAAGAAAGACCCGGGCUCAACUCGGGGAACGGCAUAGAUACUGCUGAUCUUGAGACAGUCAGAGGAUGAUGGAAUUCCAGGUGUAGCGGUGAAAUGCGUAGAUAUCGGGAAGAACACCUAUGGCGAAGGCAGCUCUCUGGGACGGUACUGGACGGCUGAAGACGCGAAAGCGUGGGGAGCGAACAGG
rnacentral:rRNA from 1 species